rnacentral:tRNA from 1 species
GGUUGUGGCUCAGCGGUAGAGCACUCGCCUAAUACCUGCGAGACCCUGGGUUCGAUCCUCAGCACCA